AAAAAGUUAAAUGAUUAAUAUUUACCUGGUACUACUGUAGUGUAACCUAGAAUUUCAAGUUCUGUGUCAAUUCCACAGAAUUCUUCUCUGGAACCUGACAAUGUAAGCACUCCUUUUGUGGUUGCCUGAAGUAUUCCUGAGCCUUCCGGUUUCAACUAUAACAAGAGCAAUAUGCACUGCAUAACUCGUCAUUACCAUUCAGGAGUGACUCUGGAGACCGCCUAGUUUCUGAGCUACAGGAGUACAAUGGGUGAUCUUGGCUCACAGCAACUUCUGUCUCCCGGGUUCAAGAGAUCUUCCUGACUCAGCCUCCCAAGCAGCUGAAAUUAUAGGCAUGUGCCACCACACUCAGGAAUCUGAGCCUCAGCCCAGGAAUCCUGAGAACAGUAUCUUCCAGUGGACAUGGAUGAGUCCUCUUUCAUCCUCUUCAUUCUUUGGGUAUAAACAUUCUGUUUUACGUGGUGACUCUUACAGGAACUAAGUAUAAAAAAAGUAAAAUAACAUUAUUAUAAAGACAGUACUGGCAAGAAAGGCAACAUAUAAACCUCCUGGCCACCUUUCCACUGCCAACUGUCUGACCCACCGACUCCCCGCAUAUACAUACACUCUCUUAGCACCAGAAAUGAAACUGUGGCCAUUCCACAUAGGAGGAGGCAACAUAGUGAGGAGCUGACUGGACAAGAACCAUGUUUUAUAAAAUCUUAGUCGUUGGCUCUUUUUACCAAGGCCUCUUUCUAAAUAAUAUUCUCAUGUAGAAUUUAAAUCAACUCUUAUUUUUUUCUAACUUAAACACAGUCAACACCCAAUUUCCUGCACUGAUGAAGAAAAUAAUUUAUGGUUAAUGCUGGAAUACAUUGUAUAAUGAGUGUUACUUUUCUAGAGAUACGCUUUUCUAAUUAUAUUCAGCUAAAGGCAGCAUAGUGGAAAGGAAUGGGUAACAGCUUAGGUGUCAGAGUGUCUAAGUUAUUAUUUUGUAGACACUAUCUAUCAUCUAUCAUUUGACCUUGAGAUGACAAUUCAUCUCUCUAGG
rnacentral:lncRNA from 1 species